GUCGUCGUGGCCGAGUGGUUAAGGUGACAGACUAGAAAUCUGUUGGGCUCUGCCCGUACAGGUUCGAAUCCUGUCGGCGACG
rfam:Ciona savignyi cont_30842, whole genome shotgun sequence.